rnacentral:rRNA from 1 species
GACGAACGCUGGCGGCGUGCUUAACACAUGCAAGUCGAACGGAAAGGCCUCUUUCUGGGGGUACUCGAGUGGCGAACGGGUGAGUAACACGUGAGUAACCUGCCCUUGUCUUUGGGAUAACUUCAUGAAACUGGGGCUAAUACCGGAUAGGAGCUCCUGCUGCAUGGUGGGGUUUGGAAAGUUUCGGCGGUUGGGGAUGGACUCGCGGGUUAUCCGCUUGUUGUUGGGGUAAUGGCUUACCAAGGCUUUGACGGGUAGGCGGCCUGAGAGAGUGACCGGCGACCGAGGGACCUAGGGGAGGCACAGACAGCGAAGGGAGGGAGAAGUGGGGAAGAUUGAAGAAUGGGUGGAACGCGGAUGAAGAAACGCCGCGUGCGGGAAGACGGUCUUAGGGGUGUAAAACGAUUUCGCUAAUGACGAAGCUUUGUGUGACGGUAGUUGGUAAAGAAGCACCGGCUAACUACGUG